GACGAACGCUGGCGGCGUGCUUAACACAUGCAAGUCGUACGGUAAGGCCCUUUCGGGGGUACACGAGUGGCGAACGGGUGAGUAACACGUGAGUAACCUGCCCACAACUUUGGGAUAACGCUAGGAAACUGGUGCUAAUACUGGAUAUGUGCUCCUGCUGCAUGGUGGGGGUUGGAAAGCUCCGGCGGUUGUGGAUGGACUCGCGGCCUAUCAGCUUGUUGGUGGGGUAGUGGCCUACCAAGGCGGCGACGGGUAGCCGGUCUGAGAGGGUGACCGGCCACAUUGGGACUGAGAUACGGCCCAGACUCCUACGGGAGGCAGCAGUGGGGAAGAUUGCACAAUGGGCGCAAGCCUGAUGCAGCAACGCCGCGUGCGGGAUGACGGCCUUCGGGUUGUAGACCGCUUUCAGCAGGGACGAAGCUUUUUGUGACGGUACCUGCAGAAGAAGCACCGGCUAACUACGUG
rnacentral:rRNA from 1 species